CACGUCAGCGCGGUUUGCUGACAUGGACACAAAUCGCGCUGAUGUGGACGCGAUUUGCUGCCACAUCAAUAAACCGCGCUUACGUGG
rfam:Gossypium raimondii Chr06_contig_763, whole genome shotgun sequence.